AGUGAACGCUGGCGGUAGGCCUAACACAUGCAAGUCGAACGGCAGCACAGUAAGAGCUUGCUCUUACGGGUGGCGAGUGGCGGACGUGUGAGGAAUACAUCGGAAUCUACUUUUUCGUGGGGGAUAACGUAGGGAAGCUUACGCUAAUACCGCAUACGACCUACGGGUGAAAGCAGGGGAUCUUCGGACCUUGCGCGAGUGAAUGAGCCGAUGUCGGAUUAGCUAGUUGGCGGGGUAAAGGCCCACCAAGGCGACGAUCCGUAGCUGGUCUGAGAGGAUGAUCAGCCACACUGGAACUGAGACACGGUCCAGACUCCUACGGGAGGCAGCAGUGGGGAAUAUUGGACAAUGGGCGCAAGCCUGAUCCAGCCAUACCGCGUGGGUGAAGAAGGCCUUCGGGUUGUAAAGCCCUUUUGUUGGGAAAGAAAAGCAGCAGGUUAAUACCCCGCUGUUCUGACGGUACCCAAAGAAUAAGCACCGGCUAACUUCGUG
rnacentral:rRNA from 1 species